GACCAGCGGAGGGACAUUAUAGAGUUUUCUAAACUCCCAACCCAUGUGAACUUACCUUUUGUUGCCUCGGCAGAAGUUAUAGGUCUUCUUAUAGCUGCUGCCGGUGGACCAUUAAACUCUUGUUAUUUUAUGUAAUCUGAGCGUCUUAUUUUAAUAAGUCAAAACUUUCAACAACGGAUCUCUUGGUUCUGGCAUCGAUGAAGAACGCAGCGAAAUGCGAUAAGUAAUGUGAAUUGCAGAAUUCAGUGAAUCAUCGAAUCUUUGAACGCACAUUGCGCCCAUUAGUAUUCUAGUGGGCAUGCCUGUUCGAGCGUCAUUUCAACCCUUAAGCCUAGCUUAGUGUUGGGAAUCUACUUCUCUUAGGAGUUGUAGUUCCUGAAAUACAACGGCGGAUUUGUAGUAUCCUCUGAGCGUAGUAAUUUUUUUCUCGCUUUUGUUAGGUGCUAUAACUCCCAGCCGCUAAACCCCCAAUUUUUUGUGGUUGACCUCGGAUCAGGUAGGAAUACCCGCUGAACUUAAGCAUAUCAAUAAGCGGAGGAAAAGAAACCAACAGGGAUUGCCUUAGUAACGGCGAGUGAAGCGGCAACAGCUCAAAUUUGAAAUCUGGCCCUUGGGUCCGAAUUGUAAUUUGUAGAGGAUGAUUUUGGUGCGGUAUCUUCCGAGUUCCUUGGAACAGGACGCCUUAGAGGGUGAGAGCCCCGUACGGUUGAAUGCCUAGCCUCUGUAAAUCUCCUUCGACGAGUCGAGUAGUUUGGGAAUGCUGCUCUAAAUGGGAGGUAAAUUUCUUCUAAAGCUAAAUAUUGGCCAGAGACCGAUAGCGCACAAGUAGAGUGAUCGAAAGAUGAAAAGCACUUUGAAAAGAGGGUUAAAUAGCACGUGAAAUUGUUGAAAGGGAAGGAUUUGUGACCAGACUUUUUCUGGGCGGAUCAUCCGGGGUUCUCUCCGGUGCACUUCGCCCAGUAAAGGCCAGCAUCGGUUUUCGGCGUGGGAUAAAAGCAGUAGGAAUGUGGCUCUCUACGGGGAGUGUUAUAGCCUAUUGUAUAAUACCGCGCUGGGGACCGAGGUUCGCGCUUCUGCA
rnacentral:rRNA from 1 species